GAUGAACGCUGGCGGCGUGCCUAAUACAUGCAAGUCGAGCGAACAGAUGAGGAGCUUGCUCCUCUGACGUUAGCGGCGGACGGGUGAGUAACACGUGGAUAACCUACCUAUAAGACUGGGAUAACUUCGGGAAACCGGAGCUAAUACCGGAUAAUAUAUUGAACCGCAUGGUUCAAUAGUGAAAGACGGUUUUGCUGUCACUUAUAGAUGGAUCCGCGCCGCAUUAGCUAGUUGGUAAGGUAACGGCUUACCAAGGCAACGAUGCGUAGCCGACCUGAGGGGGUGAUCGCCCACACGGGAGCUGAGCCACGGUCCAGACUCCUACGGGAGGCAGCAGUAGGGAAUCUUCCGCAAUGGGCGAAAGCCUGACGGAGCAACGCCGCGUGAGUGAUGAAGGUCUUCGGAUCGUAAAACUCUGUUAUUAGGGAAGAACAAAUGUGUAAGUAACUAUGCACGUCUUGACGGUACCUAAUCAGAAAGCCACGGCUAACUACGUG
rnacentral:rRNA from 1 species